GAGAGAUGUUUGUUAUAAGUUUCACCUUCCUCUCCAUCCCUUUCUGAUUCCAAGUUGUCUAGGCCUGCAGAUUCCCUUAGUGAUCUCUAUUAGGUGGGUACUUCAUCCACAACCUCCACUGCUGGGAUUUUCACAGAGUAUCCACAAGGCAAAUGACAAGGGAAUCUGAUAAAUUGGACCAUACUGUGAACAGAACAACUAUUAGUCUGAAUGCAACUAAUGGGGUGAGUGUUUUGGAGUAAGUGACUGUGAUACUGAAAAGGACAAAACUAUGCAGGAAAGAGUAUACCCAAGUGUUUAAAAGUAUUUUGCUUUAUUCAGAGAAGCAAUGUGUCUUUCAUUAAAAUAUUACAUAAAUAAAUAUGCAUAAAAGUUUUCACAAAAAGUUUUCAGGGAUAAAUAUCUAAAAGGGGAAAUAGAAUUGAAGAAUUUGGAAGUCUAUAAAUAUGUAAUUUUGACUUGUCAAUCACAUAUGGUAUAAUUUGUCACUUUAAUUUAACAAAUACAUGUUUUAUGAGGGGAAGUUUUUAAAAAAUGCUUAAAGAAACCAGGAUAGUUUUACAGAAAAUGCUCUAAUCAGUUCAGAAUUUUACUUAAUAAGUAUAAAAAUAGGGGAAAAGUUAAGGAACUCUAAGAAAAUGUAUAGAUUUAUAAGAAAAAUCCUAAGAAGAGCUGAAUUGCCCAUUUUUUAUAUUUGAAGCAAAAAAAUAUAUUGGAAAAGAGAGUGGUUAAUUCUGUUUAACCUAAUAAAAAAACAAUCCUAGAGAAAAAUAUGGGAAAAUGUGAUUUCAUAACAGCAGUUACCCAAUUUGAUGUACUCACCAGUGAUAAUUAAGAAUAUUUUUAAGCAAUAAGGAAAUACUUGAAUUCAUAACCAUAAUUACUGGCUGAUGUUUCCAAUAUUUUCUUAUCAAACUAUAAAAUGGUGGUUAAUAUUAUUAUAAUAUUUUUGUUAUUUCUUAUAAGUCAAAAAAAUUCUUGAAUACUUGGUAUUGCUCUUUAUUUUACAUACAAUUGCUUAUUAGGUAUGUGAACUGAGAAUUAAAUAUGGAUAAUAAUGUCUUUAUUUUCAUCCACAUAUUCCUUCAUUCAACAAAUAUUGAGCAACUAAUAUAUCCAGACACUGGUAUAGCACUUGUAAAGUUCAGAGAAUAAACUAGAGUUAUUGGCUUGUGGAUAUAUUUGCAGUAGAGCCAUCAGAAUUCUCUGACAGAUUGAAUUCAGGUUGUGAGAGAAAAAAGAGUCAGUAAUGACUCUAACAUACUUUUUCCUGAGCAAAAUUAUCCUAUGGAUUCUUAAGAACAAAUUUAGGGGUAAAAAAAAACAAACUGAUUCGAGUGGGAACAAUGUACUAAAAAUCAAAUUGAAUGAGAAUCCUAAAACGGAGUCAUUCUCCAGAGGAGUUAAUUAAAACUUUGGACAGUGUCAGAUGAUUUUCAUAGGAACCAAAAUAAGUAAAUAAAAAAAUGAAAAUGAGGAAUAAAAAUUAUAUUUAAAAACUAAUAAGUAAGAAGAAUGUAAGAGUCAAAAUAGAAGAAUAUUAAGCUAAGAGAGAAACUCAUGAGUGGGAAAAGAAAAAA
ensembl:lncRNA